rnacentral:tRNA from 1 species
GGGGACGUAGCGAAGUGGUUUAACGCGUCGGCCUGUCACGCCGAAGAUCGCGGGUUCAAAUCCCGUCGUCCUCGCCA